GGGGCUAUAGCUCAGAUGGUAGAGCAUCUGUUUUGCACGCAGAGGGUCAGCGGUUCGAUCCCGCUUAGCUCCA
rnacentral:tRNA from 1 species